GCCUAAUACAUGCAAGUCGAGCGGAGUUGAUGAGGCUUGCUUCUCUGAUGCUUAGCGGCGGACGGGUGAGUAACACGUAGGUAACCUGCCUGUAAGACUGGGAUAACUACCGGAAACGGUAGCUAAUACCGGAUAAUUUAUUUCUCUCCUGGGGAGAUAAUGAAAGACGGAGCAAUCUGUCACUUACAGAUGGGCCUGCGGCGCAUUAGCUAGUUGGUGAGGUAACGGCUCACCAAGGCGACGAUGCGUAGCCGACCUGAGAGGGUGAACGGCCACACUGGGACUGAGACACGGCCCAGACUCCUACGGGAGGCAGCAGUAGGGAAUCUUCCGCAAUGGACGAAAGUCUGACGGAGCAACGCCGCGUGAGUGAUGAAGGUUUUCGGAUCGUAAAGCUCUGUUGCCAGGGAAGAACGUCCGGUAGAGUAACUGCUACCGGAGUGACGGUACCUGAGAAGAAAGCCCCGGCUAACUACGUGCCAGCAGCCGCGGUAAUACGUAGGGGGCAAGCGUUGUCCGGAAUUAUUGGGCGUAAAGCGCGCGCAGGCGGUCACUUAAGUCUGGUGUUUAAGGCCAAGGCUCAACCUUGGUUCGCACUGGAAACUGGGUGAC
rnacentral:rRNA from 1 species